UACGUAGGGUGCAAGCGUUGUCCGGAAUUAUUGGGCGUAAAGAGCUCGUAGGCGGUUUGUCGCGUCUGCUGUGAAAACUCGGGGCUUAACCCCGAGCCUGCAGUGGAUACGGGCAGACUAGAGGUAGGUAGGGGAGACUGGAAUUCCUGGUGUAGCGGUGAAAUGCGCAGAUAUCAGGAGGAACACCGAUGGCGAAGGCAGAUCUCUGGGCCGUAACUGACGCUGAGGAGCGAAAGCGUGGGGAGCGAACAGG
rnacentral:rRNA from 1 species